rfam:Physcomitrella patens subsp. patens PHYPAscaffold_200 genomic scaffold, whole genome shotgun sequence.
UAAGAGGCUUUUAUAAAAGCCAUUUUUAGUUACCUCAAAUUAUAAU